rnacentral:tRNA from 1 species
GGGGGCAUAGUAUAGUUGUUAGUAUACUUCCUUUGCAAGGAUGAGAGACAGGUUCGAGUCCUGUUGCCUCCA